UGGCUUGCGACUGGGAGAAGUUGACUCUCAAGUUGCACCAAUUGUCACUGGAAUUCUUCUAGGCAUGAUAAAUAUUUUCUUCUGGCUCUGGGCAAUAAAGAGAACCAUUGUGAAGCACAAGGAAAAAAAUUAAACGUCUUUCAUAUAGCACAGCAAUUAAUAAUGAUGAUGUGUCUUCGUCACAUCCUCUUUCACCAGUCCAGUCCUCUGUCCAAACGGCUGGAGGCACUGGAUCCCUUUCCAGUACAAGAGUUGGCACACCUGUCCAAGACAGUGGCACUUCCAGACCCUACUCCAUAAAUCCCCUGACAGCUGUAAUCCAGCCUCAGAUGAUCCCCAUCAUAUGAAGAAGUAAUUUCUUCACCCCUGUAUAAUCCGAAGUCAUCAAAUCCCCUCCUUACAUUCCUUUGUCAAGUGGCACUCGGCUGUCUUCAAGUUCUAUACAUUCUCCUUCAAGAAGGCCUUUUUCUUAUAAUCCUUCAUCGACACAAUACGCCAUAGACCUACAGCACCACCAUAUCUAAUUAGUCCUCACUUAGCACUACGGCCUGGAAGUCUUGAGGCAAUACCACACCAUGUAAAUUCCUCAACACCAGUUCUUAGUUUGUCGUCUCCAUUGCAUUCAUCUGUUCCAGAAUUACAGCGGACACGCAAUCCAAACUUCCAUGAGAGCAGUGUUUCAGGUUCAGCUGACACUGGUGGUGCAUCAAGAUUGUAAACAUGGUACUGUGGAAAAAAUUAGAUAUAACAACAUAAAAGUA